rnacentral:tRNA from 1 species
GGGGCCUUAGCUCAGCUGGGAGAGCACCUGCUUUGCAAGCAGGGGGUCGUCGGUUCGAUCCCGACAGGCUCCACCAUUUGAGUGAAACGACUUGGGGUCUGUAGCUCAGGUGGUUAGAGCGCACCCCUGAUAAGGGUGAGGUCGGUGGUUCGAGUCCUCCCAGACCCACCACUCUGAAUGUAGUGCACACUUAAGAAUUUAUAUGGCUCAGCGUUGAGGCUGAGACAUGUUCUUUUAUAACUUGUGACGUAGCGAGCGUUUGAGAUAUCUAUCUAAACGUGUCGUUGAGGCUAAGGCGGGGACUUCGAGUCCCUAAAUAAUUGAGUCGUAUGUUCGCGUUGGUGGCUUUG